rnacentral:sRNA from 1 species
AGCGGCUCGUGCUUUAGCUCUGGCUCCUCUUGCAUUUUUGCUAGUUACCUACAUUCACAGGGGUCAUACGAGGAAAUGAAAAAAAGUGUACAACAUUGUGACGUACAUACCCAGGCGUACGUAUCGGAGGCGUACAGCUAUAUAUAUAUAUUGAUAUGCGGCCCAAACACUGCUCAGAGCGGGCCAGCUAGCUCUUCAACAUGCUCCUUCACGUCGCACCGUUCCAAAAUAACGUUUGCUCAUAACUAUGCCAGUAUAUGGAUCUUGACUACGGUAACAGCGCCCAAAAUUAUUUUCCAACGUUCCGAGUUACCUAAAAAAAGAGAAAAAAAUAA